rnacentral:rRNA from 1 species
UUGAAGGCUGAAAUUCGCCUUCAUGAAGCCGGAAUUGCUAGUAAUGGCAGGUCAGCAUACUGCCGUGAAUACGUUCCCGGGCCUUGUACACACCGCCCGUCACACCAUGAGAGUUGGGGAUACCCGAAGCCUGUGAGCUAAACUUUUAGAGGCAGCAGUCGAAGGUAGAAUCAAUGAUUGGGGUGAAGUCGUAACAAGGUACC